UGCGUAGGCGGCGCGGUAAGUCGGGUGUGAAAUCUCGGGGCUUAACUCCGAAACUGCAUUCGAUACUGCCGUGAUUGAGGACUGGAGAGGAGACUGGAAUUUACGGUGUAGCGGUGAAAUGCGUAGAUAUCGUAAGGAAGACCAGUGGCGAAGGCGGGUCUCUGGACAGUUCCUGACGCUGAGGCACGAAGGCCAGGGGAGCAAACGG
rnacentral:rRNA from 1 species